CGUAACAGGUUAUUUCCAUGUCAUAUAGCACCUACAUAUCACAAGAAUAACAAUGUUAAAUUACAUGUAACUUCCAUGUUAUAUUGCCGCUAUAAAAUGUGUUCACUGGGCAUUGUCACCACAGAAUUAUGCAUGACUGACUACACGACAAUAAAGGAGGGAGAAAAUUUUUCAACAAAAUCAUUGUAAUGAAAUUCGUUGAAGUCAAACUAACACCAGUGUAAUUAGUAUUGAAUUUUUCGGAGGUGAUUACAAAGAGUUAAUUAUAAAUAUUUAUAUAUUUUAACAAGUAUAAAUCUCAACAUGCAAAAAAGUUUUUCAUCAAUUAUAUUUUUAUAUCAAGAGGCACGGUAGUACCUCGCGCCAAGUGUACGCGCUCAAGGCACUGCCGUGCCUCUAUUUACGCGAGACGCCGUUUGCGAAAUUCCGUAAUUAUCGGAUCUCAAUAACGACUGAAUUGAUUGAUUUCUAAAUUUCUAAGCUUAAUGGAUUGCUUGCAUCCGAUUUACAUAACAAAAGUGUUUUUAUUUUUCCGUGACUUACGAGUAAAGAUAUCGCAAUUUAAAAUUUCGCAUCAAGAGUAAAAUUUUUAAGAAACGUCGUCGCCCGGGACAGAUGUUGGGGAUUUGUACUUUUGCUUUUUGCGCGAUAGAUGGUUACAAAUGUGACAAGGGCACGAGAAUUGACAAAAAGUGCAUGUUCGUGUCCGCGGAAGAACAGAACGAGAAAUUACGUGUCUUGAUUGGCGGUCGAGUCCGCCUGUCAAAGUAAUGAGGUUUGUUUUUUAUUCCUGCACUGCUGCACUAAUGCAAUAAGUUAGAAUAAGAAAAAAUAUAUUUGUCUUAUUCUAACUUAUUGCACCAGUGCAGCAGUGCAAGAAUAAAAAACAGACCUAUGGUUAAUCCGCAGCGAGUUUCACGGCGGUGAUGUGACAGUUCGAGGUUAGUGACGUGCUGACGUGCGCGAGUUUUGCAGAAAUUUUGGAAAUAUUUUGCUAUCUGGGGAGAAACAAGAGAUAGCAGAAAGGAAGACAAAGAUACUUUAGAACAAAGAAUCAAGAAGUUUGUAUGAGAAAAAAACAGAAAGGCAGAUUGGAUUAAAAAUUUGGAUAAAGAGAUGACAGAAAACAAUCUGGAAGAAAUUAAAGGAGACAAUAUUGGAAGCUACAGUAAAGAAAAAAGUUGAUUAAAAAAAAAAAAAGAAAUAAGUCACAAAAAAUGGUGGGAUAAAACUGUACAAAAAAUUAAAGGAAAGUAUACAAGACACCCUAAAAAAAUGAAGAAAAGGAAAAAAUACAAGACAGCAGUACAUGAAUGAUAACAGCAAAUUAAGGUCAUUCCUGAAGCAAAAACUGGAAAAAUGUAAAGAGGAGGAGAGCUAGAGCUUAAAAGCUGAAAACUUCUAUGGAAGUCUGAAAGUAUAUAAAUAAAAGAAGAGGAAGUAAAACAAAGUACUUUAUGGAAUUACGAAAGAACAGAGAAUAAGGAGAAUAGAAAUACAAGAGAUAGUGAGUCAAAGAAAAAGAGAAAGAAAAGGAGAAAGAAGAUGUAGAGAUUAUAAAAGUAGAUAUCGGCAGAGGGAUUGAUAUUGAAAAAUAAGCACCAGGAAUAAACGGCAUACCGUUAGAAGCAUAACGUUCUAGUGGCACGGCAGUGAGAAAAGGUCUUAUAGAACUAAUAAGGAAGAUUUGGAAGAGAGGCAGCAUAUCGGAAAACUGAAAAACAAAUGUAAUGAAUUAUUAUUGCACAAAAAAGGGACCAAGAAAAGACAGAAUUAUAGAUAUAUCUAUGUUCUGUUCAGCAUACAAGAUCUACAUAGAGAUAGUAAGAAGGAAACUGGAAGAAGAAACAGAAAAGUUGAGAGUGCUAGAAAGUCAAGGUUUUAGAAGAGGAAGGAAAACGAUGAAGAAUAUCGUGUUGUGAGUGUGUAACACUCACACUGAAAAUAGUGCGAGCGAUAAGGGUGUCGAGUGACAACUCGCGCGAGGACAUCGAUCUUCACACUGGACGUCGCACCGGGCAAUGUACUCGGUCACCACCCGAUUGCCAUCCGAAAUCUCUUGAUUUCUAGUGGAAUGCACAUAGCCAGCAAUUGCUGGCUAAGCCGGUGCACAGGCCAAAGGCCUGUAACAGCAAGAGAAACCCUCUAGCAACAGGCCGAAAAGCGGCGUAUAUAAACGCCGCGAAAAAAGAACGAGCGGGCUCAUUAUCAAGCGAUGCAGCAACAAAUCUAUGUCGCCCGUCGUAACGCAUAAUCAUACUUAAAUCAUUUACGACAUUUGUCUAUUCGGGUUCACUAACUGAAGAUUGUAACCACGUUGAAACAAAUAUAUCUUUUUAUAUCUACUCUCGACGUUAUCUUUUGGUCACCUGAUCCGAGGAGUCACCGACAGCGAUCCCGUACAGUGUCCCGAGACCAAGGGACACGACAAUCGUUAUCCUGAAUCAUAUAGUACAAAGAAAAAAACUUAAAAAUAAAAAAAAAGUUUUCGCUCUCUUUGUGGAUUUGAAAGCAGCCUUUAAUAACAUAAAAAAAAAAGUUAUGGAGCAUAUUAAAAGAAAUGGGUAGAGAUAGAGAAGCAAAUAAUCGGAAGACUAAAAAGGACAUACGCAAAUACGAGGGUAACAGUGAAGACUGAAAGACUAACAGAGGUAUUCUGCACAAAUAAGGGAGUUAGACAGUGAGCGGUGCGCAUCUCUUCGUGUGCAAAUGAAUGGUGUGCAAUAAGCGGUGCGCAUCUUUUCAUGUCCAAAUAAGUAGUGCGCAAAUAAACGGUGCGCUUCUUUUCAUGUGCAAACGAACGGUGAGCAAAUAAACUGUGGGAAAAUAAGCGAUAUCCAAAUGCAUCAUGGCUAUUUGAAUAGUGUCCAAAUACACGGCUCCCAGUUAGACAGAGAUGUGUGAUAAGUCCACUUUUUUCAGUCUAACGGAUUUGGAUAGUUACAUGCAAAAAAAGAAGGUAUAAAAUUAGGUAAUAAAAGGAUAUAGUUUUCCACUAGCUCAUGUGGACAAUAUGAUUUUACUGGUCAAAAAAUAGAGUAGGUUUAACAUAAUGGAUACACUUAGAAAAGUUUUAAAGAUGAAAGAUUUAGAGUUAAAUACAGAUAAAACAAAGUUAAUGGUGUUUCACAAAAACAAGAAAGAAAUGCUAGGUAAAUAGAAAUGAGAAAAUAAGGAAUAAGAAGUAUAAAUAUUCAAAUAUUUAAGUUUCACAUUUAAUAGGAAAGGGAACUAUGUAGAAAUCAAUAAAUCAUACACAGAAAUUAGAUAAAAAAAACUGGCAGCUAAUAAAUUUUGGGAUUAGGAAAAAGAAUUUGCAGAAAUAACUUCAGUAGAUAUUAUUUAAUUAUUUAGUUAAUUAUCUAUUUAAUUAUCUAAAUAAAAGCGUAAUGUCUAUAAAGUAGAAAUAUGAGGAUGCAAAGAGAAGAGGGAAUUAGAAAAAAUAAUGUUAGAUUAUGCAAGGUGGAUUUUUAAUUGAUUUUUACAUAUUUAAUGCAACAUGAUACUUGAUGUCAAGAGAAUUAGGGUUAAAAAAAUUAAGAAUAAAAUAGGGAACUAAAAUGAAAAAGUUCCAAGAAAAAAAAUCAAGUUAUGAACGACAAUAGGCGGGUAAAGUUAUGUUGGAACGAAAAAACAAUGGAGAGCUAGAAUGACCAAUAUCGAAAAAAAAAGAGACUCAUUAUAAUAGAAAUGGGUGGAGCUCGAGAGCAAUAGAGAUAAUAGAAAGUAAUAAGACUAAAAAAUUUUUUAACAAACUGGAGUAUAGGGGUAGGGACAUACAAAAACAGGAAAAGGAAAGUAAACUAAGAAAUGCAAGAUGUAACACAAGAUACAAAGAAAAAUAGAGUAGGUUUAAAAUCUAGAUAUUUAAGUAGAAAAAAUGUAGCAAUUAGAAGAAAUAGUGUAGAGUUGAAGACGUUAGAUUAAAGGGCAGAGAUAUAGAAGAGAAUAAUAAAUAUUGGUUAGAGGAAGAGAGAAAGUUAUGUGUAUUUUGUAAGAAAGGAAAAAAUAAGCUAGAACAUUUUAUAGAGGAUUGCAAGAUAGCGAAAACAUGAUUCAAGGUAUUAAGUAAAAAUAGAGUAAAAAGACUAGAAAGACUAAAAACCGAGUUAGACAAAACAAAAGAUAAAGUUUUAAGAAAAUUUUGGAGGGAAAAAAUUACAAAGAAGAAAGGAAGUUUAGAAUAAAAUUUAAAAAUAAAAGGAUUAAAGACUGUGACUAGAGAAUUAAGAAUUAAGAACUAGGAGAUAAAUCCAAAAAUAGGUGCAAUAAGAUGUAAAUAAAUAUAAAGCACAAAUAAAAUAAAAUAGUUUAUUAUAAUUAUAGUAUAGAUAGCAAUGCAAUAAGAUUUAGAUGUGUGAUAUUAGAUAAAGAUUGACAUUAAGAUAGAUAGAAUGGAUAAAUGGAAGGAUGUGUGGAUAAGUUAAAUAUUGUAAACAAAGUCCCUUUCUUGGUUAUAUAGCUAAAAUAAAGUAUUAUUAUAAUUAAAGUUUAUCAAUUUUAAUAGCUAUAUUUCACACGUUUAGCCACAUAUAUAAAAAAAAACCCUUUUUGCAAUAACACGAUUAAAAUUAUAUACAUUAUAUACAUGAUAGUGAUAAACUUUUAUAAAUCUAAAUGGUGUAUAGAUAGUAAGAAUUUCAUAAAAAUAUUGUAAAUAUUUCACACAAUGUUUAUUACUUAUCAAAACAAUAACCUUCAUAUUUGACAUCUUUUUGGAAAUUUACACUACUAGUUUCACAACUGUGGCUCUGCUAAUUUAUAUAAAUUCUCAUAGUAAAAAAGAUCAAAAUUUGUGUAUUAGAAUUUUUGUUUCUAAAUUCUCAGAGCAACAAUCAUGCCGUUUUCCUUAGAAACUAUAAAAAAUUUCUGUUAAUUUUAGUAGUAAAAAUUUUCACUUUUUAUAUUUCUACCAUAAGAAAGAAGUUACUAUAAUCAAUAUCAGAAGUCUUUAAGAAAAAAUAAUAGUGAGACUUUCUAUGUAUAAUUUUCUAUAAGAAAUUUGAUAAAAACAUAUAUAAAUUUCAGCAAAAUAUAUUUUUAUUACAGAAAAAAAUACUAGUGUCAGACUAAAAACUAACGUAACAAUAAUAACUUGAAACUAUUAUAAUAUAUUCUAACAAUCAUUGUUUAAUACUGCUAACGUUCAAUGUUUUUUGUUAUAUAAUCUUACAUUCGCUAUAUGUAUAAUCUUAUUUUAAAAAUAAAGAUAUUCAAAA